ACGUACAACUCUAUUCAUUAUGUUUUCUAACUGCAGCCUACCACUCCAUAUUCUCUCCUUCUUUCACUACUAUUUCUCUACAGGUUUCAGUUCUCACCCAUUUGCAUGCUAAGAAUGUACACAAAUCGGUAGAAAGAACUGCUUUGAAAUUCUUUCAGUUUUGGCAAGGCUACUUUUUCCAGAUCGAUGAACGUUUAUAUGCGCAUCGGGUAAGCUCCGGAAAAUUAGCUCAAUUGGAUCUGCAAAUGGGAGGAAU